rnacentral:rRNA from 1 species
GUAGGGAAUAUUGCGCAAUGGGGGAAACCCUGACGCAGCGACGCCGCGUGAGUGAUGAAGGCCUUCGGGUCGUAAAGCUCUGUUGCAGGGGAAUAAAAAAAUGAAGGUACCCUGUGAGGAAGGAUCGGCUAACUUCGUGCCAGCAGCCGCGGUAAGACGAGGGAUCCUAGCGUUGCUCGGAAUCAUUGGGCGUAAAGAGGGCGUAGGUGGCUUGGUAAGUCAGGUGUGAAAGCCCAGGGCUCAACCCUGGAAGUGCAUUUGAUACUGCUGAGCUUGAGUGUCGGAGAGGUUACCGGAAUACCUGGUGUAGUGGUGAAAUACGUAGAUAUCAGGUGGAACACCGGAGGCGAAGGCGGGUAACUGGACGAACACUGACACUGAGGCACGAAAGCGUGGGGAUCAAACAGGAUUAGAAACCCUUGUAGUCC